CAUGCAAUACGAGAAGUGCAGAAGAGGAGACUCUCCCAUGUGGUCAUCUACAAAUGGUGAACAGGGCCCCAGAUGAAGGCUUCUAUUAGGAUUUCUUGAAGUCACAGCGAUAUUAUGGACAUCUAUGGCCUUAGGAAAUGAGCCAGGCUAAGUGUAGCCACAGAUGAGGCGUGGGGGUGGAGAAGACAGACCCCGCCUGCAUCCACCAGAGGUAAAAGGCUGGAAGGAAAACGCAGGUUCUUCGAGAGGCAGUUUUUAAAUCAUGUUUAUUGAAGACUCAGCUACGUCAGUUGUUUGUUAAAAGAUCUAUUGACUUCAAG